rnacentral:rRNA from 1 species
UACGGAGGAUGCAAGCGUUAUCCGGAUUUAUUGGGUUUAAAGGGUGCGCAGGCGGAAGAUUAAGUCGGCGGUGAAAUUUUGCAGCUCAACUGUAAAAGUGCCAUCGAUACUGGUUUUCUUGAGUGUGGAUGAAGUAGGCGGAAUUUGUGGUGUAGCGGUGAAAUGCAUAGAUAUCACGAGGAACUCCGAUUGCGCAGGCAGCUUACUAGGCCAUAACUGACGCUCAGGCACGAAGGCGUGGGGAUCAAACAGGGAUUA